UUUAUUAGAUUGAAACCAACCCCUUCGGGGUGAUGUGGUGAUUCAUAAUAAGCUUGCGGAUCGCAUGCCUUUGGCGGCGAUGGAUCAUUCAAGUUUCUGCCCUAUCAGCUUUGGAUGGUAGUCUUCUUG
rnacentral:rRNA from 14 species